GAGAUCUGCAGCCUGGGAAGUCUUACCUGCUGGAUGUUUACGUCGUAGGACAUGGGGGACACUCUGUGAAGUAUCAAAGUAAAAUUGUGAAAACAAGGAAGGUCUGUUAGUCACCUUGAGUGAAGAUCAGGAGAACUCCAGGAGAGACAUGGAGUCACACUGCUUGUAACUGACUACUCUCGUGACAAACAAAAGUUGUACUUGAAAGAAAGGGUAACAACAUGUGUACAUUGAUGCUUGCCUAAUGUAGCAUGGAGACUUGUACUCACGCACACCUGUGGUACUUAGGGUCCAUCUGUCUAAUGCUGGUUAAUGUCAAAAGAAGAGGGUAUCUCAAUGGAUGCCACCCCUUGCUUUGACCAUUGCAUGAACUGCUUCUAAAUUAUUUUAUUACCUAAAAUUUUAAAAUAUGCCAUUCGUUGCACACAUUCACAAAUGCAAAUAAUUCCUCUCUAUAGAUGUUAGGGGAAGUUUAUAUAUAAAUAUAUAAAUAUAAAUUAUUUUAUAAAGUCUGUUUUAAUUGUUGGUGUUUCUAUUAUUGUAAGCUAUUAAAUUCUUUCUCUGUUAAAGUAUAGAUCUAAUCUAAGAUCGUAUCACCCUCUAAGCAGUAAUAUUGUUGUAAAUUCUUAUUUGUUCAGUAAAAUGUUUAAAUGCUGUCUGUAUGUAUCUCAUGUAAAAAGUUGAUAUACAUUAUAUUCAUGUAUAUAAAAUUAAGAAUAUUAGAUUAUUACACUGUUCAUUUUCCCAAGCAGUACUGUGGUAUAUUCAAUUGCUUAUCUGUCCUUAAAACCGUGCUUUUUCUGUAAGUUGGCACCAAAAUUUAGUCUUAUUUAGUAGCUAGGAGGUAAAUGUUGGCUCUCUCGAUCUUUACUGGCAUCAAGAGCUGGUUAUUCAAGUCUGGAUUUGGGAACUCAAUGGGAGACGAAGAACUGUAAUAGGCUUGUUUGAGCAUAGAACAAGGCAAACACUAUCAAUCUGAUAAGCGAUCAUUUUAAACAUUUAUUUUCCAUUUGCUUAAAUUUUGGCAAAUCUUUUAACGGCUUGCUGAAGCAGGUGAGAACCUUGAUUAGGACUUUCAUCAGUCACAACACAAUGCUACAUCUGCUGCUUACAAGAUUUAUAAAACACUGCUGCAGGUAAUUUUAUUUUGAGUUUUCAACUGUUUUUAAAGUUAAUUUUAGUGUAAGAUACAAGUCUAGCAAAUAACAUCUGCAGGCUCUACCAAGGGAGCAUGGGGACACUUUUAUCCUCUACAGAUUUUACUUGGAAAUUCCAAGGCAACAUGAGACCAUAAAAGCAAGAUUCAGAAAUACUUGUAAUUGUUGGUCACCUAAAACCAUAUGACUUUAGGAGAAUGUUACUGCCCACCAUCCCCUUUCCCAUUUAUAAAGUUGAGGAAGUGGUAGAAGUGGAUACAAUGACACUGUGAAAUACCUUCUGACAUGAGAAGUUGCCGUUUGCAAAAUCCUGACCCUAAACCCUUACAUUCUAUGGCUAGAGUGAGAACAGGCGCAAUGGUUCCUCUUAUUGCUAUCCACUGCAUGCCGGCACAGCUUUGCUGGUGAGAGUUCACAGCAGCAUUUCUAUGGGGUAUAGGAAUACUGUGGCAGAGAUGGCGUUGUAUAUAGUUCCCUAUGACGUGUGUUCUGCUUACCUUAAGGGAAAGUACAAGCGUUAUGGCAUACCCUCUAAAUCCUUGGCAGUAACUUUCAGCAAAAUUGAUCCAUCUGUGCAAUGCAGGAACAACAUCUGAAAUAACUUUUUGGAAGCUGACAACCAUGUACCCAAUGCUUUAUUUAAGCAGCUUCAAUAAAAGGAGAGACUG
rnacentral:lncRNA from 1 species